AUGCUUCAAUUUACAAUGACAUUACACAAAUAUACCGACUCUUAUACAAGAUCAAAAUUGCGUCACUCGCUGAGCUGCUUUCCGAGAUUGUCCACGUCCAACAAAAACCGGGCAAACGACGCCCGCGACGAGCCCCCUUCCUCCAGCGCCGCCUUGGCCUCUUCCCUGCGAGCAGCCACCCGGGCCCUGAGCUGCCUCCCAUCCUCGCCCUCGAUCACCAGCCUCACCUUGGCAUCCACCUCCUCUGCCUUACAAAACUUGCCAUGUAUUCCUCCAGCUCGAGAGCGACGCCCAUGUCCUCUCGGCAGGCACAACAUCGGCACUCCAGCCGCAACGGCCUCCAGCACCGAGUUCCAUCCGCAGUGCGUCACGAACGCGCCUGUCGCCUGGUGGCGGAGCACGGCCACCUGCGGCGCCCACGACUUGACGACAAGGCCCCUGCCCUUUCGCGUCAAGGUCCGGCUGUUGCUUCCGGCGGGCUUGCGCACGGACCACAGGAACCGCUGCCCUGACCUCUCCAACCCAACGGCCAUCUCCUUGAGCUGCUCCGCCGAGAGCGUGCCCAUGCUCCCGAAACAGAGGAACACCACGCUGCGGUCGGGCUGCGCAUCGAGCCACUCAAGGCACUCGUUCCUCUCUGCUUUGUAA
rnacentral:rRNA from 1 species